GCGCCCGUAGCUCAGAAGGAUAGAGCACAGGAUUCCUAAUCCUGGGGUCGCGCGUUCGACUCGCGCCGGGCGCACCA
rnacentral:tRNA from 1 species